CACAUGUACGUAGUAAAAAUAUAUGUACAUUAAGCAAAUCAACAAUAACAACAACAAGAACAACAGAAUGUCACAGUAUUGUGAGAAAUUCUUGUCUAAUAUGUAGCAGAUUUUAUGGUAGGAAUUUAAUGACCCCAAAAAUGGCGGCCAGGGGAAAUUAUUUGUGCUAUGUGAAAAACACCAUUGCUUCCGGUUAAAUUAUAUGGAAAUUUUUGUAAAACAAAAUCGGAAAUACAAAAGUAUUUUAGUGAUGUCAGAGAAACAGACCGUGUUCGCUUCUUUAAUACACUUACAAUCUCACUGUACGAUUGAACAGUUGUAAUUUUUGAAAUUAAGAAAUAUAUAAUAGUACAAAAACGCAUUAGUUUAUGAGCAUAUUUUGACAUUUGUACCCUGAGGAAAUGAUAAACUGCUGGAAUAUGAAAUACACAGUAGAUUACAUUCAGACUUCACAAUUUAUGAUUUUUCUAUAACCACUGGGAAAGUAUUAAUUAACGGACAUCAUAAAUAUAUGCAUAGACUUCCAUCUGUGCCGAGUCUUUUCACUGUCAAGUAUAUAUAAACUGACUAUUAUAUUCUUUUUCACUUUUGUAUUUAAACGCAUUUCAGAACAAGAUGAGAGCUUUACUUGCAGUAUUCCUUGCCCUAUGUGUGCUGGACUUAUCUGCCAACGCUUACCCAAUGUUCCAUCGUAAGAAGGGAUUUGGACCAAGAAUUAUGCCAGUCCCUGUGCACCCUUAUCCAGUGUACGGACCAGGAUAUGGUCCCGGUCCCGGCCCAAGAGGAUUUGGUGGUGAUGCACUCACCCUUUUAACCUCAGCUGCACUCAUUGGCUCAGGACUCCCGGGUGGUCAAGCACUAGGCACACUAGGACUUGCCAGUACACUGUUUUAAGACACAGAGACAGCUUCAUAUCGUAUCUCCUUGCCAAAGAAGCGACGUAUGAACAGCUGUUUGACACAAUAUGUGAUCCAUUAGUUUCAGUAAUAAAUUAUUUUACAAUCUA